UGAUGCUGAGCUGAAUGGG
rnacentral:piRNA from 1 species